rnacentral:rRNA from 1 species
AACGAACGCUGGCGGCAGGCCUAACACAUGCAAGUCGAACGCCCUGGCAACAGGGAGUGGCAGACGGGUGAGUAACGCGUGGGAACGUGCCCUUCGGUUCGGAAUAACUCAGGGAAACUUGAGCUAAUACCGGAUACGUGCGAGAGCAGAAAGAUUUAUCGCCGAAGGAUCGGCCCGCGUCCGAUUAGCUAGUUGGUGAGGUAACGGCUCACCAAGGCGACGAUCGGUAGCUGGUCUGAGAGGAUGAUCAGCCACACUGGGACUGAGACACGGCCCAGACUCCUACGGGAGGCAGCAGUGGGGAAUAUUGGACAAUGGGCGCAAGCCUGAUCCAGCCAUGCCGCGUGAGUGAUGAAGGCCCUAGGGUUGUAAACUACUUUUAUUUUCCCAUGAAGGGAAUUUGAAUAAGGAACUACUAACUACGUGCCAGCCGCCGCGGUAA